ACGCUUGAAGUCAGUCGCGUUGUCCAGGGAUCAACUCUUGCUUUUGCUUGGUGUACUUUCUGGUUAACGGGUCAGCAUCAAUUUUGACCAUUGGAAAAAGAUUAAGGGAAUGUGGCAUCUUUAGAUGUGUUAUAGCCCUUGGUUGCAUACAUUGGUUGGGAUUGAGGAACUCAGCACGCCGCAAGGCCGAGUUUUUUUUAACUACGUACGUGCUUAGGAUGCUGGCAUAAUGGCUUUAAUCGACCCGUCUUGAAACACGGACCAAGGAGUC
rnacentral:rRNA from 1 species